GAAAGACCGCAAAGGUCGACAUGUUAUAGUUAAGAAGUAUAAAUCAUUCGUAAAGAGCAAACGUAUCUUCUGGAAACAAGGGACUGAUGCUAAGAGUUUAUUUUCCGGAAUAAACCGAUAUAAUAAUGGAUGAAUUCAUUGAACUGAUGAAAGAACAUAACUUGGAAACGUUGGGUCUGUCUGUGUAAAUUCCCAACCGUAG
rnacentral:lncRNA from 1 species